AAAGUGUGUUAUUGAAUAUGCUUGAGUUUAUAGGCAUCAAAAUAAAAAUAAAUAAUUUGAAAUUUUCUUUUGCUCUUUAAAGUAUAAAUACUCGGAAGAAAUAAAAAUUUUAAUUAAUUGAAAAAAAUUGGUUGAGAAUUUAAGAUAAAUUUAUUUUUGGCUCUUAUAAAUUUUGCUUUUUGAAAUAUUGAGUUAAUGGGCUUCA
rnacentral:misc_RNA from 1 species